GAUGAACGCUGGCGGCGUGCCUAAUACAUGCAAGUCGAGCGAAUGGAUGGGAGCUUGCUCCCUGAAGUUAGCGGCGGACGGGUGAGUAACACGUGGGCAACCUACCUACAAGAUUGGGAUAACUUCGGGAAACCGGAGCUAAUACCGGGUAAUACAUUGGAUCGCAUGGUUCGAUGUUGAAAGAUGGCUUCGGCUAUCACUUGUAGAUGGGCCCGCGACGCAUUAGCUAGUUGGUGAGGUAACGGCUCACCAAGGCCACGAUGCGUAGCCGACCUGAGAGGGUGAUCGGCCACACUGGGACUGAGACACGGCCCAGACUCCUACGGGAGGCAGCAGUAGGGAAUCUUCCGCAAUGGACGAAAGUCUGACGGAGCAACGCCGCGUGAGUGAUGAAGGCCUUCGGGUCGUAAAGCUCUGUUGUUAGGGAAGAACAAGUACCGUUUGAAUAAGGCGGUACCUUGACGGUACCUAACCAGAAAGCCACGGCUAACUACGUGCCAGCCGCCGCCGUAAGAC
rnacentral:rRNA from 1 species